ACGAAAUUGGCACAACAACAUCCAGCUUUGUUGAAUCUCAAAUCGAAACAAAAUGUAAACUAAACUUCCAUGUGCAUAUAGUCCACCUAAUCAUGCAGUCUACUUAAGAUCUCCCUUUUCCAAGUCAAGAACCUACACAGUUAGAAGAGAUUGAAAUAAUCACAAGAAUAGAAAUCACAGGAGAUUGGAAAUCAUAAGCAUCACAAGAGAUUGACAAUCACAAGCAUCACAAGAGA
rnacentral:lncRNA from 1 species